rnacentral:misc_RNA from 1 species
GAUGAAGAACGCAGCGAAAUGCGAUAAGUAGUGUGAAUUGCAGAAUUCAGUGAAUCAUCGAGUCUUUGAACGCACAUUGCGCCCUCUGGUAUUCCGGAGGGCAUGCCUGUCCGAGCGUCAUUGCUGCCCUCAAGCACGGCUUGUGUGUUGGGCUCCGUCCCCCGAUCCCGGGGGACGGGCCCGAAAGGCAGCGGCGGCACCGCGUCCGGUCCUCGAGCGUAUGGGGCUUUGUCACCCGCUCUGUAGGCCCGGCCGGCGCUUGCCGAUCAACCAAAUUUUUAUCCAGGUUGACCUCGGAUCAGGUAGGGAUACCCGCUGAACUUAAGCAUAUCAAUAAGCGGAGGA